rnacentral:rRNA from 1 species
UACGUAGGGGGCAAGCGUUGUCCGGAAUUAUUGGGCGUAAAGAGCGUGUAGGCGGUCCGGUAAGUCAGCUGUGAAAGUCAAGGGCUCAACCCUUGAAAGCCGGUUGAUACUGUCGGGCUAGAGUCCGGAAGAGGCGAGUGGAAUUCCCGGUGUAGCGGUGAAAUGCGCAGAUAUCGGGAGGAACACCAAUGGCGAAGGCAGCUCGCUGGGACGGUACUGAUGCUGAGACGCGAAAGCGUGGGGAGCAAACAGG